rnacentral:rRNA from 1 species
GACGAACGCUGGCGGCGUGCUUAACACAUGCAAGUCGAACGAAUAGCGACGGAAGCUUGCUUCUAUCACUCUUAGUGGCGCCCGGGUGAGUCACGCGUAAUCAACCUGCCCUUCAGAGGGGUACAACAGUUGGAAACGACUGCUAAUACCACGUACGAUCUAAUCUCGGCAUCGAGGAUGGAUGAAAGGUGGCCUCUACAUGUAAGCUAUCACUGAAGGAGGGGAUUGCGUCUGAUUAGCUAGUUGGAGGGGUAACGGCCCACCAAGGCGAUGAUCAGUAGCCGGACUGGGAGGACGAACGGCCACAUUGAGACUGAGACACGGCCCAGACGGCGAGGGGAGGCAGCAGUAGGGAAUCUUCCGCAAUGGACGAAAGGCUGACGGAGCAACGCCGCGUGAGUGAGGACGGCCGUCGGGUUGGAAAGAGCUGUGAAUCGCGACGAAAGGCCUUCUUGCGAAUAGGGAGAAGGAUUGACGGUACCGGAAAAGAAAGCCACGGCUAACUACGUG